rnacentral:lncRNA from 1 species
AUGGUGGGGGAGGAUGCCGGUCAGACCAGGCAGGCCCAAACGUAUCGCGAGGGUCUACUGGGAACGUCUGGCAGAGUCUCCUGUCAGAAGGAGCUUCAAUUCCCACCCCCGACAGAACUUCUAAAAUGUUCCGGGGAGGCAGGGGACAUUGAGUCUGAAUGGACCCUGUUCCGUGUCUCCAUUGUUGAGGCGGCCGACCGGAGCUGUGGUUGCAGAAUCAUCUGUGCCUGUCGUGGUGGCAAACCCCGAACCCGCUGGUGGACACCGGCGGUUAGGGAUGCUGUCAAGCUGAAGAAAGAGUUCUAUCAGGUCUUUUUGGCCUGUGGGACUCCAGAGGCAGCUGACGGGUACCGGCAGUCCAAGCGGAAUGUGGCUCGACUGGUCGCCAAGGCAAAAACCCGGGCAUGGGACGAGUUCGGUGAGACCAUGGAGCAAGACUUCCGCAUGGCUUCAGGGAGAUUCUGGCCCACCAUCCGGCACCUUGGAGGGGGAAAUCAGUGGGCUACCAACACUAUCUAUAAUGGGGACGGUGUGCUGCUGACCUCUACUCAGGACGUUGUGGAUCGGUGGGCAGAAUACUUCGAAGACCUCCUCAAUCCCACCAACAUGUCUUCCAGUGAGGAAGCAGAGUCUGGCGACUUUGGGUUGGCCUCUCAAAUCUCUGGUGCUGAGGUCACUGAGGUGGUUAAAAAGCUCCUUUGUGGCAAGGCUCCGGGGGUGGAUGAGAUCCGCCCAGAGUUCCUUAAGGCUCUGGAUGUUGUGGGACUGUGUUGGCUGACGCGGCUCUGCAAUAUCGCGUGGACAUCGGGGGCAGUCCCACUGGAUUGGCAGACCGGGGUGGUGGUCCCCUUAUUUAAAAAGGGGGACCGCAGGGUGUGUUCCAACUGCAGGGGGAUCUCACUCCUGAGCCUUCCUGGUAAGGUCUAUUCAGGGGUUCUGGAGAGGAGGGUCCGUCGGAUUGUUGAACCUCAGAUUCAGGAGGAGCAAUGUGGUUUUCGUCCUAGCCAUAGAACACUGGACCAGCUCUGUACCCUUAGGGGGAUCCUGGAGGGUGCGUGGGAAUUUGCCCAACCAGUCUACAUGUGUUUUUUGGAUUUGCAGAAGCCAUUUGACCGUGUCCCUCGGGGGGCCCUGUGGGGGUACUUCGGAAGUAUAGGGUACCAGGCCCUCUGA